rnacentral:rRNA from 1 species
UACGAAGGGGGCUAGCGUUGUUCGGAAUUACUGGGCGUAAAGCGCACGUAGGCGGAUAUUUAAGUCAGGGGUGAAAUCCCAGAGCUCAACUCUGGAACUGCCUUUGAUACUGGGUAUCUUGAGUAUGGAAGAGGUAAGUGGAAUUGCGAGUGUAGAGGUGAAAUUCGUAGAUAUUCGCAGGAACACCAGUGGCGAAGGCGGCUUACUGGUCCAUAACUGACGCUGAGGUGCGAAAAGCGUGGGGAGCAAACAGG